GAUGAAGAACGUAGCGAAAUGCGAUAAGUAAUGUGAAUUGCAGAAUUCAGUGAAUCAUCGAAUCUUUGAACGCACAUUGCGCCCUCUGGUAUUCCGGGGGGCAUGCCUGUUCGAGCGUCAUUAUAACCACUCAAGCUCUCGCUUGGUAUUGGGGCUCGCGGUUCCGCGGCCCCUAAAAUCAGUGGCGGUGCCUGUCGGCUCUACGCGUAGUAAUACUCCUCGCGAUUGAGUCCGGUAUGUCUACUUGCCAGCAACCCCCAAUUUUUACAGGUUGACCUCGGAUCAGGUAGGGAUACCCGCUGAACUUAAGCAUAUCAAUAAGCGGAGGA
rnacentral:misc_RNA from 1 species